GGACUUUUUCAUUUUCAUUUCUUUCAUAUUCUUUCAAAUUUACAAAAUAUUUGAAGUCUGCUCUCGGUGUCCUUUUUCAUGAAAAUGUGGAUAAACAAGAUAUAUAUCUCUGCAGACAGCUUUUACUUUAAUUCCCCUGCUACUGGUAAAUUUGAUUAGGAAAAAUAAAAGCGUUCAACAAAUAUUUUAAAAAUCUACCAGCUGAUUAAAUCACACUUUCUCUCUAUCUUGUUGGAAUAUGAGGUUGACUUGGGCAUCAUUUUAAAUCUUCUAGUUUAGAUUAUGAUCUUUAAAAUGACAUUAAGCUUGCUUUGAUGUUCCAUGUAAGUAUAGGACAAAAGCCUGAGAAUUAAAUGAUUGCUCACGUUGUAGCGUCAUAAUAGCAUAGCCUCAAAGUCCAACCAAAAGAUAGCAAAUGAAUCUAUUCCAGAAAUGUUUGUGCUCCUCCAAUGAAUCAUGUCACCAGUUCUGCCAGAAAGAAAGAAAAAGUGCUCAAAAUCUCAAAACACAUUUUUUGACAGGACUGAGAGCAGUAUCUGAAGUCUGCUUUACUUAACAUUUUCUGACACUGUUUUAACUGUCCUAUUCUUUGAGGUAUAUAUGUAUGUGGGAAGACCUUGGUGUCAGAAGCUGGAAUUCUGUCUUGUUUUUGAAAGGUUGUGCCAUUCUGGAGCUGAGUAGAGGCAAACUGCAGGUGCUCAUGGCAGAUAGGCAUGGGGUUAAGGAAUGCUCGAAAACUGCUCACUCUUCAAGAAGAAAAAAAGCAGUGUCUGAGAUAGCUUUCUGCUCUCCAUUUCACCGCCUGCGUUUGGAGGAGCUGCAUUGGUUUUGACAGCAUUCACACCAGUCUUUCUGAGAUGAGACUCUGGUUCAUUGCCUUGCACAGUCUAAAACCGCACGGGUCCUUAUAUUCAAUAAAAUAUUGAUAGUCUUUUUGCUGCUUUCA
rnacentral:lncRNA from 1 species